AAGUCUUUUAUCUGCUCUGAGUCAUUCUUCUGUCUGUGGACAUAAGGCUUCCACUGUCUUAGAAACCGAGAAGAGACUAAAAAGCUUUCACAUGCCAGAGGCUCAGAAAAACUGGAUGCAGUGUUCACCCUGGAGUCAGAGCUGGUGUAGGUCAAGGACAUUGGCGAGGAAAUGGAUGUGCACACAGAAUCUAGGGCUAGUCGUGCUGUCUACUGAUGUCUUUUGUUGACCUUUGCAGUUAUGCUGUAGCAUUGCUAACAAGUUAAAAGUUCCACCUUGGCCCAAAUUCAUCUAAGAAAAUGAUGCUUUGGCAUUGCCCAGGUCCAGAAUGGUGAACCAGGAUUUAUUUUCUCAGAAGAUCACAAAGAGGUCACUUGUCAUCGUCAAAAUCAGCCGGAUUCCAGACAGGCAACUAAGCCAUGGCGCCUUGGAACAUCAAGAUGUGUCUUCAUGUGUUUCUAAGAAAGCAAAUAAAGCUUAGAAGAGGAGAAAGAGGAAGAACUUGUGGGAAUCUUGGAUUCAUCCUCAGAGACCACCUCAACAUUACAACGCAGAAGCCACAGCAGACCUCGGCCGCGCUUUUCCAGCACAGCCUCCUGGCCGCCCGGAUUUCAUCAACGUCGUCGUUGACGAAUGGAAGUAUCUAUAUUUCCAAGGAACAUGCCACAGGCAGCCGGGACUGUUUUCCCCUCGCAGCUUCCUGUCAUUUGUGGUGUUCUCUUGGAAAACCGCAGGGCUCGGCAGUAACAAGCGGCUGUUUACAGAGCUCCAGCUGUAAUUAAGUCAGAUUGGAUCUGCUCUCUAGUACGGGUGAGGAAACACUCCACCAUCCAUCAUGCCCGAACGGGAUGGGGGUGGGGUAGGGGAUAAAAACAUUCUUCAGCUUGUGCAUGUUCAAGCUGGGGAACAUGUGAAGGAAAAGAUACUUUUGGGGAUUAGAACGGGGU